AACCAACAGGGAUUGCCUCAGUAACGGCGAGUGAAGCGGCAACAGCUCAAAUUUGAAAAUCUGACCCUUCGGGUCCGAGUUGUAAUUUGUAGAGGAUGUUUCGGGUAAGAUCUAGGUCUAAGUUCCUUGGAACAGGACGUCAGAGAGGGUGAGAAUCCCGUACGUGGCCGAGGAUCGCACCCAUGUGAAACCCCUUCGACGAGUCGAGUUGUUUGGGAAUGCAGCUCAAAAUGGGUGGUAAAUUUCAUCUAAAGCUAAAUAUUGGCCAGAGACCGAUAGCGCACAAGUAGAGUGAUCGAAAGAUGAAAAGCACUUUGAAAAGAGAGUUAAACAGUAUGUGAAAUUGUUGAAAGGGAAGCGCUUGCAACCAGACUUGUUUACUGGGUUCAGCCGUCGUUCUCGGCGGUGUAUUUCCCUGUUAUCAGGCCAGCAUCAGUUUGGGUGGAAGGUCAAAGGCCUCGGGAAUGUAGCACCCUCUUGGGGGUGUCUUAUAGCCCGGGGUGUAAUGCUUCCUACCCGGACUGAGGUACGCGCUUCGGCUCGGAUGCUGGCGUAAUGGUUGUAAGCGACCC
rnacentral:rRNA from 1 species